rnacentral:lncRNA from 1 species
GCCCUCUGCUCUGCUGUGGGCUCCGUGUCCUGGAACCAGCUGACUCCUGGAAGUGGCUGCUGAAAGGUUGCUGAAAGAUCUGGUUCCUUGGGACUACAAAGUCUGGUUGGAGUGUGCCCAAAGCCAGGCAGCAGUUUCAGGCCACUCUGUUCCCCUUGGCAGGCCGGGCAUGUCCCACACGAUGCCAGCUGAAAACCAGAGCGGGGCAGUUCACACCCUGACAGAGCUUUUCUUAUCCAGCCUCUCACAUUCUGCACUGAUCAGGUUUUCUUACGUGCCAAAGGCUGUGACAGGGUUAUGUCUGACCUAAUGGGCUAAGCAAACUAUUUUUAAUGGGUGUAGCUCAGCCCCCAGGAAGGGGGGACGCAGGGACUGCGUGCCCUCUGUGCCACCAGGACUGCACGGGGUGGUACCAGGGCAGAGCCCCCAGCCAGAGGAAUGCACAGAGCAGGCACAGAAACACGGUCAGAAAUCACAGACAGAGCUGAGAGUGGAGCCCAGAGGAGCUGGAAGUGUGAAGGAUGAAUGCCCCAAGUGCCAGCUGCUGCCUGCCUUUUCAGCACUGAGACCUCUGCCGUGGGCAGGGCAGGGCAGAAAAGCUGAGGCUACUGUAAGAGGAUGACUCUUCCCAGAGCUACGAUGAGUUAACAACAUCAGUGACCUCAGAGCCCUGAGCAACGACUCAGGAAGAUACUUCAACAUCAGAAGACUAAAGGUGUGCACUGCGGAGUCCUGUGGCCAGCGCCGAGUUAAGAUCGCGAUGUUCCCCCGGUGUCACCCGGCCGGCAUUGCCGUCUAGGGCUGUCCCCUCCCUGCUGUCCCCUGCUGUCCCCACGGCUGUCCCCUCACUCCCCGUCCCCCUCAUUGUCCCCGCACUGACAGGGCACUGUCACGCAGUCCCUGCACCGCCACCGCACAUCCCCAGCAGCCACCGGCAGUCACUGCGCUGUCCCCGCACCGCCACCGCACUGUCACAGCCCGGCCACCGCCAGCGCCUGCACAGCCACCGCGGGGUCACCGCACCGGCCCCGCUCCGCCACUGGCCCCGCUGUCUUCCCCUGUCCCUCUCUCCCUGUCCCUGUGUCCCUGUCCCUGUCCCUCUGUCCCUCCGUCCCUCUGUCUCUCUGUCCCUGUGUCCCUNNNNNNNNNNUGUCCCUCUGUCCCUGUCCCUGUGUCCCUGUCUCUCUGUCCCUCUGUCCCUGUCCCUCUGUCCCUCCGCCUCCGGCGCGGCGCUCCGGGGCCAGCGCAGAGCCCGCCCCGUGUCAGGCACGGCAGCAGCGCAGCUCCCCCGGCUCCGGGCAGGAUCGCUGCUCUGCUGCUGCUCUGCUGCUGCUGUGCUGCUGCUGUGCUGCUGCUGCUGCCGCGGGCAGCGGCUCCGAUGGGCAGUGCCGGAGCCCGGAGCAGCCCCGAG